rnacentral:snRNA from 1 species
ACACUUUGGCAGCAUAUAUACUGAAAUUGGAACGAUAUAGAGAAGAUUAGCAUGGCCCCUGCACAAGGAUGACACGCAAAAAAAUUAAUAUUA